UACGUAGGUGACAAGCGUUAUCCGGAAUUACUGGGCGUAAAGCGCACGCAGGCGGCGCGGUAAGUCUGAUGUGAAAUCUCCCGGCUUAACUGGGAGGGGUCAUUGGAAACUGCCGAGCUUGAGGCGAUGGGAGGGGUGUAGAAUUCCCGGUGUAGUGGUGGAAUGCGUAGAUAUCGGGAGGAAUACCAGUGGCGAAAGCGGCACCCUGGCAUUAGCCUGACGCUCAUGUGCGAAGGCGUGGGGAGCGAACGGG
rnacentral:rRNA from 1 species